AAAACCCAAAUGCACAGGUACAAUAUGUGUGGUACCUUGCUUAAUAGUAGUAACUGUGAGAGGGAUUUUGGAGUUGUAGUGGACAGUCAUUUAAAUAUGAGUCAGCCGUGUGCAGCCGCCGCCAAAAAAGCCACCACAGUUCUAGGCUGCAUUAACAGAGGGAUAGAAUAAAGAUCACGUGAAGUGUUAAUAACACUUUAUAAUGCCUUGGUAAGGCCACACUUGGAAUACUGCAUCCAGUUUUGGUCACCACGAUGUAGAAAACAUGUUGAUACU